CGUUCCCGGGCCUUGUACACACCGCCCGUCAAGUCACGAAAGUUGGUAACACCCGAAAGCCGGUGGCCUAACCCCUUGUGGGAGGGAGCUGUCGAAGGUGGGACUGGCGAUUGGGACU
rnacentral:rRNA from 1 species